rnacentral:rRNA from 1 species
UACGUAGGGUGCAAGCGUUUAAUCGGAAUUACUGGGCGUAAAGCGUGCGCAGGCGGUUUUGUAAGUCUGACGUGAAAUCCCCGGGCUUAACCUGGGAAUUGCGUUGGAGACUGCAAGGCUGGAGUCUGGCAGAGGGGGGUAGAAUUCCACGUGUAGCAGUGAAAUGCGUAGAGAUGCGGAGGAACACCGAUGGCGAAGGCAGCCCCCUGGGCUAACACUGACGCUCAGGCACGAAAGGCGUGGGGAGCAAACGAGG